AAAGUCGUAACAAGGUCUCCGUUGGUGAACCAGCGGAGGGAUCAUUGCCGAGUUGAAAAGCUCCAAACCACCGCGAACAUACCAUUCCGUUGCCUCGGCGGGCGGCUCCAGGGCGGAGCCUCCUUGCCCCCCAGGGGGGGGUGCCCGCCAGAGGUCACCCCAGACCCUGUCAUCAUCAGUCUUCUCGGACCAGCCGCCCCGGCGGCGAAAACAAUCAAAACUUUCAACAAUGGAUCUCUUGGCUCUG
rnacentral:misc_RNA from 1 species